AGAGACACCAGAAGUAUGUGAAGUAUGUGAAGUAUGUGUAGCUGUGUAUUGAAAAGAAACUUUACCUUGUUAAGUACUUCUUUUAUGCAGCUACUUGAUUUUAAAAAGGGAAGCUUGACAGGCUCAGCCUUCGAGGAGCUGGAAAAUAAGGACUUUUGCAGUGCAGCAUGCAAAAAAGAUCCAGACCCAGCCUCGUUAAGAAAAACAUCUAAACAUUUAUGUGAUUACCAGGAACAACGUAUUCUCCUGCACCCAUGUGCUUCUGGACCCAUUCCAAGGAAGAAGAUUACUGGAACUGCCCCUCUGGAUCAGAUGAUGGAUAUUAACCCUGGUUUCUGUCUCUAUCUGUUGGAAACAGAACAGACCUGAGUAGUCAAUAAUGUGUCAGAUAAAACCAAGAUCUCAAAUUUACUUCCCUCUUGAACUACAACAGUGAUCAAUACAUGUCAAUAGAAAGGGAGGAAUCAGCAGCUCCUAUUCUCUGAAUAUUGUGUGGCUUUUUCACCAUGGGACAGAUGGUACAAGAUAAGUCAACCCACACCAUUUAACAGAAGUUGUUUCCCAUAGAAUGAUUUUGCUAUGGAUAGAACCAAAUUGUAUACCCCACCAGCAGAAAAAUUUCAUGCAGUUGUGUUUACACAGCUUAUUGGAGGCAGUGUUUGGCAUAACGUAACCUCUCACCUGUCAUCACCUUUGUAGAUUUAAAAGCCUAGAAAAAAUUGUCUAUGUUAGUCUAACUGGCUCUAAAAACUAUAUUUUGAUUGAGAAACUGAAGAUGCUAGGUUUUUUUUUUUUCAUAGCAGAAAGUACUACAAAUGCAAAACUUUUGCUUUCUGAAAGCAACCAAUAUUUUCAUAUUAGUGUUUCAUUUCCUCGUGGGGUGAAAUCACCUUGAGAGUCCUGCUCAUUAUUUAUGUGAUAAAACAGUGCUCCUGUGUUCCCAUUAAGAUUGUCCUGUUAGAAACACAUUACUCGUCCUCUUGAAAGAAAAAAAGCUUGAAGGCAAUUGGAUCUGAACUCUCUGAUACAGUUUCUCUUUGGGAUCUUGCUUCAGGUUUCUUUGCAAAAGCUGGUCCAAGACCAGAAGUUGAGUUCUGCACUGCUGCUGAAGCAAUUCAGGUGCCUGGUACUACAGGGCAGUUUUGAAAAUAGCAACAGAGGUGCAGGUUUGACACUGUAUGAGGUCUGUCUCUGAGUGUCAGGAACUAUAGAGCUGAUAUGCAGACCCUUGCCAAUGCAGCAGAGAAAGGACUCCCUGGCUCUGAUGCUUUCCAAAAUUUGCUGAUGAAGGUGCCCAUUGAGUGGAUCAACCUCAAAAAGCCAGACUUUCUUGGCAGAUAUUAAAGGAGCUUAAUUGCCUCGUAAACCAAACAUCCAGUCAUGAAGAUGAUUUGUGAAAUGAUGAUACAAGGUUUAGUCUUGUGCAUGACAUUGUGCAAUGAGGCUUAUUGCCUUUUUUACUUUCUGACACUGCUCACAGUGCCUGAAAGCAAGGAAAAUAAGGUGUCAUAUAUACAGGACUGUAAAGCCACUUAAUGAAGUGUAUGUAUUUUCAGUUUGUUUUGGAGGCUUUUUAUUUGUAUUUUAAGUGAAGUAAUGUACUCAAAAUACAUUUUAAAUAUCUAAUUGUAAUGGUACCUUCCAAGAUUUUGCUGUGUUACCUUCCAGCAAAUAAAGACAAAGUGUCCUUGCACAGUGACCUCAUCAGAAAGUUACUUUUAGAAUAGCAGCUGCAGCAAGUGUUAAUCUAGAGAAUUGUCAAGGAAAUAAGGGGGACUAACUCACUUUCCUGAAGUGUCAUUUAGGAUUAUAGUAAACAUUCUAAGAAUGUGCAGACCCCAGCAUUCAGAAGCUGUCACAGGAGUAUGAGGAAUCAGGGUUUGCAUAACAACAGGAGGGGACAUCCUUGCUAUGUUUCCUCUUGUUCUCUUGUUCCCAGUCCUCCCUGUGACUGGAAUGUGAAUUCUAAACCACUGAACAGGGCAGCAAGCAAACCCGCAGAAGGCAGCUGGCAGGUGGGCAGCAAGUGGUCAAGAGAGCAGAACUCCAGUGCAUUUAGUGCCUUAGCACCCAACAUAGCUCUUCAGAUAUUUCAGAGCACGCACAGGCUGUGCAGGACACCAUGGCUCAGAUGUCCAGACACAUGAGGAAUGAGCAUGCAGUCUUGUAUCUGCACAUCACUCUGCUUUCCUGAACACUCUGCUUUCUGACUACUUAAAGAUCCGUUUAGUUGAGAGAAACAUCACCUUACAAGGUGUUUCUUUUUCUUGCGUGCAAAAAGAAUGUUCACUAAAGACUUUUCUGUGAUGUUUUUGUGGCCAAAGUGACCUUCAUCUGUACAGUUCAUGCAUGUGAAUUCACCACAUAACCUUGUUUGACCCUAGAUGGUCUUUUUGAGGGAAAGGGGAUACUGUCUGCCCAGUAACCAUUCUGAUGCUCUGCAGGAUUAAUUGUGUUUAUAAAAUAAAAUUAAAUAUUGUGUCUGAGAUUACAUUUUUUUUUCUUUUAAUUAAGAAGACUUUAGAACCAGCGAGAUGGGAAGAGCCAAAAAAAUAUGAAGAAAAUAAUAUCUAAAAAGCCUGGUGCAUGCUAGAAAACCAGCAAUCAAACAGGAACAAUAAUACAAAAAUCAAUAGGAAAAAGGACAUAUACUGAAUCCAAUUAACUUUGAAUUGAUUAUAGAGAGGAAAACAAAACCAAGUUUUAAUCCUCUCUCUAAUAUUUGAUCUUGAGAACAGUGCACUUAUUUAAAACAUUCUCAUAAUCAGUUUCCUUUAUACUGUGCUUUUUUCCUCUGAGAAUACACUUUAUGCCACAUUUGUCAUUUAUGUCAGAACAAAAUAAAAAUAAAAACAAGAAGCUGGUAUAAUCAGUUUCAGUUUUGAGAACCAAAGUAACAAAAGCCCAAUCAAAGAACUGAAAGGAUAAUUAGUAACAAUGAAUACAAAAAUGGCAGCUUAAAACCUCUUUCAGAUUUCAUUUUCAGCAAUAUGUCAGAGCAGGGCUAAGGAAGCAGAGGCAAUGAGAAAAAAUGUUUCUUCUCAAAGUGGGGGAUAAAUUAAGACCAAAGCUAAGGGCCUGACCAAUAUUUUGGUUAAAAUUCUUGAAGUUAGAGCCUAACACCAAGUAAGAAGUAGCAUUUUUAUUUAUUCACCUAACUACAACUUUGCUACUGAACUUUUCCAAGUGAUCCAAUUGCUCUGACUGCUGUAAAACUUUUACAUAAAGAAAAAGAUACAUAUACAAACCUGCAUUAGACAAGUGGGCAAAAAAGUAACAAUAACACAGUGUUCAGGCCAUUUUGGACUUUAAAUUUCAUAGGCAAGAUAAUUAAAAACAACUGAUGACAGACAACAAUUGACUAGAACAAUGAAAGCAUCUAUUCUACCUUUGACUUGUUAUGUUACUAGUCUUGAAGAUUCAUUAACUUUCCAGGCAAAAUGAAGAUGAUGUUCAGUAUUAAAAUUAAAUAUCAGAAAAUGGGUAAAUUUAGGAUGUGUAGUAGUACAAAUCUCAGUGAUAUUUAGCAAAGAGAUGGCUCUGGGAAUGCUGCUCUUUUGUUUCUUAUCAGCUGUGAAGUAUCUAGUCACAAAUUAUUUCUAUUAAGUUACUGGGCUGAGGUUAAUCUCUUCUCACAUCUAAAAGAUGAAAGUUGCAUAUAAUCUAAGAUAGUUGUCCAAUUUAAUUCUGUUUGGAACAGAAAACAUUGGAUGUCUAAGGCAUGUAUCCAAGAAGGUAAAAUAAAUUGUCCUUUAAAUGUGCUUGUUUCUUAGCCAGUGUAAAAAGCUUGAAGUGUUCAUGUCCCUGUUAGACAGUUAAGUAAGAGGAAUCACAGCUUGACAUCCAAAUCUACAAAGGCAUCUGUUGGUGUCAGUGGUAUUUCAUUGAGAGAACUGGAUUCAAAAUGCUACAGUUCAUAAACUCAUCUUUGGACACUGUGAUAAAACAUGCAAAUCCAUGAGCAUUUCUCUCAAGACACAUUCCUGAAAUAUCCUCUCAGGUGUAUUUCUUUUUUUUUCUCCAUCCUCUCACUCAAAUAAGGUUUCACCAUUAUAACAUAUGCAUAUAAAGGCAAAAAUAAACAAUGAACCUGUGUAGUCACAAGGGAAGGUGUGAGGAAAUCACCUUCAUUAUGAAAAAAAAUAGUAAUUUUGGGCACCAGAAAGACAUUCUUUCCUGUUAGAAGGCUGGACGUACAGAAAAGGAAACUGGAGUUGUAGCAGUGUGUAACAUACUGGUGGUGUGUAACAGCAGGUCCUGCCCUACUCUGCACUGGUGUGGCCUUACCCUGAAUAUUGUGUGCAGUUUAGGGCUCGGGUCACUUGGUUUGUUCAGUCUGCAGGAGACAGAGGGGAGACCUCACUGUGGUCUUCUAUAGCCUCAUGAGAAAUGUGGAGGACAGGUACCAGUCUCUUGACUCUCAUGACCAGUGACAGGACUUGAGGAAAUGGCAUGAAGUGGAGUUAGGGGAGGUUUAGGUUGGAUUUCAGCAAAAGGUGUUUUACCCAGAGGGUGGCUGGGCACUGGAACAGACUCCCUGGGGAAAUGGCCACAGCACCAAGCCUGACAGAGUUCAAGAAGUGUUUGGAAAAUGCUUUCAGGCACAGGAUGUUAUACCAGGUGUUGUCCUAUGAAAGGCCAGGAGUUGUAUGGUCUUUGUAUGCCUUCCAACCGGGCAUAUUCUAUGAUUCCAUGAUUCCAUGAUUCUAUGACAUACCAGUGAAGACCUGCAGAGAGUAGAUCUUACUGUCCCUGACUCAGUACAUGACUUGCUGACCUCCAGCAUCCUAUUUUUUGCAACACUGUGAAAGAUCUUCUUUGCAUUUGAAAGAACUCUGAGCUUACAUAGGACCCAUAUGACAAGGUCCAGCCAUAUUUUAUAAUUCUCUGUCAGUGCUGCAGAACAGAGACUGUCUUAUUUCCAUCUGCCAAGACUUGAGCAGGGCUGUGCAUGAACUGAGGUGUUACUCAAUGUAUUUGGAAAACUUUAAACUGAAAUAUUGAAAUGGAAUUUAGCAAAAUUUGAACAGCUGAGCAGGAUCACAGCUUUAGCCUUGGGUGUCUGUGUGUUCUGUGCAAGUCCCAGUUUUGGCUGUGGUCUUCAGCCAAAGCAUAUUAAGACAUACAAGAAGACAGUGACAGCAAGCUUCAACAAAUCCCCUAAAUGAAUGGGAGGUUUGGGACUGGGUGAAGUAGGGUACCAUCAAGGACAUGCAGAGUAGAAUAAGUGAUCCUUCAGGCCAUAAGAGUAGAGACAAUAUAUUCAUUGUUCCUGUGCAAGCAAUCCAGUAGUGGAUAUUGAAAGAAGACUAUUCUGCCCAUCAGCAUAGGCACAAUCUCUCUGAAUCUGGCACAGGCAGCUGCCCAAAAUUAAAUAUGCAAUGCUCAGAACUGCAAGCCCUUGGAAAUCUGCUGCUUUGGAACCCCUGGAUUUUAAACCACGUUUAAGGUGAAAGUUGCACGUGGCUAAUAAACCUGUCCUUGUC